rnacentral:lncRNA from 1 species
UGGGAUAUCGUGAUUUGGAUUCUUGGCAUGUGUAGGGAUUAAAACCGGUAGGAGGAUUUUUUAGGAUAUUUGAUGGGGGUUAGCUUUAUACAACCUAAUCCUCGGAUUGGGGCGCUUGGGGUUUGUCGUUGUCAAGAAUUACGAGUCAAGACUACGGCAAGUGAAUUUGUUUUCUAUACGCGUAAGGCUCGGAUGGUUGCACGAGAGGACAUGGGGUUUAUACUAGUUCGGGCAGGAAUAGCCCUACGUCCAGUGUGGGAAGCUGCUCGUAUUACUCGCGCAGAGUUUGCAAUAGGGGUUACAAAUAGGCGAGAGAGGGAAGCUGGUCCCAAGUCUCUAUGGGUGUGCACUGGUGCUCGUGAAGAGAGAGUGUGAGUUGGGUGAUGUUCGGUUGGCUUGAGAGCCCUCCCUCGCUCGGUCCCCCCGGUCCUCCUUUUAUAGCGUAAGGAAAAGACGGGAGUUACAAUCGAGCUAGGAAUCAGGAGAAGUAAAAGAGAUAAGCAAGUAAAGUAAAGUAAAGC